rnacentral:lncRNA from 1 species
UGUCUCAGUCAGAUCAACUUAGGAAGAAUUAUUGAAAGUCUGUGCUUAUUUUAAAAUAUUUGCCAAAACUUACACAAAGUAAGGUAUUGAAAUGAAUUAACAUUAAAAUGAUAAGGAUUUCAAGAAUAACUGAUUGAACACACUGGAAUCAAUGUUUCUCUUAAGCACUAUGGAAGACCACCUUAAUUUGAAACAAAGCAAAACAGCAACAAUAGAUGUAUGCUGCCCUAUACACAUUCUUAAAAAAUACUAACAGGAUUAGCCCUCUAAAAUUUUUCAAAAUUGAAAUAUGGCUUCUGAGCUUGAGGAAUAUUUUUUAAUACUAUGAAGGCAGCUUAAAGUGAAAAAUAUGAGCUAGCCCCCAAAAUUGCUGAAUCUAUUGAGGUGGAU